CCAUGCCAAUUAAAGCUGGACCAAAACCAACUGUGAAAUCAUUACACAUUCUCCAGCAAUAACUUCCUAGCCAAACGGACCUUGUUUUAAGACACCAGCAUUAAAAUGCAUGCGUAGCCGGCCUAAAUGAAUUGCACCGUUACCCAGGCAACGCGCAAUACAUGUAACGGCGCAACACACAGAGCAGGGUCGCAGGGACCAAAGGAGCAGGUUCUCCUGCCUGCAGAGGGCAUCACAGCGGCUGUCUGGACUCUUAAGUCAAGUCCCAUUGCACUGGAUCCCUGGAGGGCUGCCCCAAGCCUUGCUCUCAGCUGUCCCUCUGAAGCCACAAAACCGGGGGGAGGAGGAGGAUCCACUGAUUCCCUCCCCUUUUGGCAGGCUUUUCAGCAGGUUCAUAGCAAAGUAGGGCCGGAAAGGACCUCGUGAGGCCCUGCUCCCGUGACAACAUCCUGACUAACCCGGGUUGGUACCAAGCUUGACGACUUCUUGCUGCCUCAGCACGGUAUUGUCAUAUUUUCAGUUGCUCCUGAUCACUAAGCUGCUCCCGCUGCAGAACUUUGCUGCUGCUCUCGUCGAUGUUCCUCUGCAGACUGUCUUGAACGUCGCUGACGAUGAUAAGAAGCAUUUUGUUCACAUUCCCCCUCCAAUUGUCUUGCACAUAGGUGACGCUGAUAUGAUGCAUUCUGCUCUACAUAGUCGGUUGGGUUUUUUGCAUGUUGUCAUUCCUGUUGCUGUUGUUGUUGCUGUCUUUGUAAGGCUCGACAUUCGUCCAUUAGGUGUGGUUUUUGUUGCUGGUGUUUCUUUUGUGGAUCCUAGCUGCUUUUCUCACUGUUAUAUUGGGGUCAUAGGCGAUCGUUUCCUCUUGCGCACAUUGAAAUUCUGCCGAGUUCCCAAUGUUAUGUUGAGAUCUGGAUCGCAAUAAGCAGCUGUACGUUGCUGUCAUGUCCUCUCAUUCCUACUCCGUAUUUUUGUCACAUAUCGUACUUGACUUCUUGUCUUCGUUGCAUUGAAUGACAAACUGACAGACAAUACCAAAGGAUGCGAAUGGCCGAAUGUGGCUUAUAUACAGUAGGACUUGAGAGCCCAGAAUGAACCCGACAUGGCUAUGCCCUGCUAAAACAUUCAGUACUGUAAUGGCCUGAAGGGUAAUGCUGCAUGUAAGCCUGGCCAGCAGGCAGCACCUCACCCACGCACACACAUCAGUGAACUUGGUUCUCUCACCCAACUCCCUCCUUGAACACUUUCAUCUGUCACAGUGAGGCUUCAUACUUACUAAUGGAGAUGGCACGCAAUACGCGUAAUAGUAUAGAUUACAUAUACACACGCGUGCACAAGCAUAGCACAAGCUUUCUGUUGGAUGUGGUCCAUAACAUGAGAUCCCUCCUGAGCAUGUGUGCACUGAUUAGAGGUGGGCAGGUUCUAGAAUAGCUAGACUUUCCACCUUCAUGAUGUCAGUGACCCACUUACACCUGGGGAGCAUGCACAGUAGCUUGUGUGGUCCAGUAGAGCAGUGCUUCUCAAACUAUCUGAAGUGGCAGACUGGCAAAUUUUUUUCCAUUGAGCCAGGGACCGGUGCCCAAUUCAGCCAGUGGCAGCAACUGCAUGUAACAGUGCUAUACAACUGUGCGACCGGCUGUUUCUCUUUCCUCACCUCACAUGACAUGACGUCACCUGGAGUGUUGGAACGUACGAACUGUGGCACUAUGACAUAUCAAUGUUAUGCUUCUGAAAUAUUUCUUUCCUGGCAACUCGCUGCAGACCAGCGAAUAUAUUUCUUUCUUUCCUAGCAACUCGCUGAAGACCAGCGACCGGUGGCUCGUGAACCAGCACUGGUCCACAGACCAGCACUUUGAGAAGCACUGCAAUAGAGCACCAUGUGCUACACCUGAGUGCCGAGAGCACCAUAGUAGGGUGUCGUGUGCACAGGAGUAUGAUUGGUGAGAAGAAUGACUGACACAUGGUGUGAUUUUGGUGAGUAUUUAAGGAAUCCUGAGGUGUGAUUCAGCAUGCGAAUGGAAUAUGGAGGCUUGAGAGUACUUAAGGUUUGAAUGGUCUGUGAGCUUACUUGGAUGGUGAUCAUACCCGCGUGUCUUAGGUGUACGAGCAGGACUGCAGCAGUGUGAGAGAGAGGGGUGACCUAUCAGAUCGGAUUAUAAUCGGAUACUUACCUGAAAAAGUGUUAUUGGAUCGGGACCUCGAUCAUCCAUUGGACUGGUAAUUAUCACUCUUCCCUCACUCUUGGUCCGAGUACCCUCUGAGGGAAAGCACUGAGGGCCUGGCUGUCACUCCAGCUCAGGGAGCCUGUGAAGGCCCUUGGCUGUCCCCUGGCAGCUCUGUUUAUGGCGCAUUUCAGUUAACCAGUAUAUAUAGUUCAUGCUUGAUGUUAUGUACAUUUCCUACUGUUAAUCUUGUUUUUGUUGUGAUCAUGAAUUUCUAAUAUACUUGUGAACUUUAUUGGAGCCUUGGUGUAUUUAUAGGGUAAAUGAGGGCGGGCUGUAGCUCUAUGUAUAUCCCUGACCCCAAAAUCCACCUCUAACAGAGAUAACACACGAAAGGCGCUUUCUGAGGAGGCCUAACAACCCUCCGCCCCUUAGAUUUCUCAUAGGUGGUCAGUGUCCAGGACAACCCGGCACUGUCCGCCUUUCAUUUUGAGAGUAGAACUCAUUUCAUCAGGUAUUGUCAAAGCCAUCUGAUGAAGUGAGUGUCAGCUUAUGAAAACUUGUACUAUAUAUAUAAUCUACUUUAAUUUCCCUGAAUCUACCCUGCCUUCUACUAAGCUUUAUCAGACCAUUGCAACUGGUAACAUGUAAGUUUGGAUUCCCUUGUUGCUGAUGGAAUCCAAGACAUGCUGCUUUUCAUAUAGUUGUAACCAAAUUUAACUCUUUUUUUGCCCAUGAACAGCAGUGGUGUAGGAAGGAAUAGUCUUGGAUUUCUUUUCUGUUUAGUUUUGGAUUUUUCUCUUUUCCUUACUUUCUCCGUCCCCCACUUUUUGGUCUGAAGCAAUUCAUAUAAAAUUGUACUAUGCAUUAUGUAAUGAAUUGGAGAUGUAUAAAUUGUAUUUUGUGGUUUUUGUUAUGUUUUAAAUUUAUAAGUGAUAUACCAUGCUUUGCAUUACACCGUGUCUUUUAAGCUUGUUCUGUAUUAUUAGAUUAUAGUUUGCAAAUACUGUAUUCUCUGUAAGACUACUCACACCUUAGCUGAUCACCCAGUGAAUGGAAGUAUGAAGGAAAGUAUGAAUGGGAAUUGAUAGCACUGCUGUAGACAAAGGGGAUUUCCCUUACUUGCAAGCUAAUGAGAUCAAGGGUGUUCCUGAAACAUUGGCCCGGACAGAGGCUGUAGCAGACUUAAUCAUGAACAGACAAACUGAGACCAGAAUUGCUACCUACGUGCCAGAGGGCAUGAAGUGAUUUGCCCCACCCAAUUGGGCAGCCGAUCACUAGGGCACCACAGAAGUCUGCCAUACAGGUAUAAAGUGCAGUGAAAAGUGAGUCCUGGCGGCACCCCUUUUAUCCAGCACCCAACCUACCAUACCAGAAGGAUGAAACCGGUGACCCCCUUCUGGAGAUAACACCACCUCAGAGAAGCUUUGACCGGCCAUCAACAGCAGACCCGCAGUACCUCGGAUAGGUAAUAAUCUACAUUGAUACUCCACUGUUGCUGCAGAAGCUGUGCAUCUGCAUGUGCGUUACCUUGGGGCUGAUCAGCUAAUAUCAGAUCUUUACUUUCUGUUUAAUAAAUUUGAAUUACUAAGACCUCA